AACGAACGCUGGCGGCAUGCCUAACACAUGCAAGUCGAACGAUACCUUCGGGUCUAGUGGCGCACGGGUGCGUAACGCGUGGGAACCUGCCCUUAGGUUCGGAAUAACUCCCCGAAAGGGGUGCUAAUACCGGAUAAUGUCUCCGGACCAAAGAUUUAUCGACUUUGGAUGGGCCCGCGUUGGAUUAGCUAGUUGGUAGUGUAAAAGCCUACCAAGGCGACGAUCCAUAGCUGGUCUGAGAGGAUGAUCAGCCACACUGGGACUGAGACACGGCCCAGACUCCUACGGGAGGCAGCAGUGGGGAAUAUUGGAAAAUGGGCGACAGCCUGAUCCAGCAAUGCCGCGUGAGUGAUGAAGGCCUUAGGGUUGUAAAGCUCUUUUACCCGGGAUGAUAAUGACAGUACCGGGAGAAUAAGCUCCGGCUAACUCCGUG
rnacentral:rRNA from 1 species